GUCACCUUGGUUUCAUGUACAUUUGUUUCCAAUUAAGUAGACUGUAAGACAUAAAAUUCCUCAACGACAACUGAAUGGUCUCCUGAAUUAUGGCCACAAAUGGGAAAAACAAACAAGUUGGAAUAUUCAGCAGAUUUCUAAAGGAAUAUAGAAUAUAUCAAGAAUAUCAAGUAGCAAGACUGGAUCUUGGUUAUAAGUUACCUGCUAGUACAUGAGAGAACAUGACAAAAUAAAACAUCACAGACCGGAGCUUCUGUUUCACAUCAUGUGUCUGUACUGUAAAUCCCGCUCCUCAUGACUAUGCAGGAUGCCAUACUCUUUGCUCAAGCUUUAUGGUUACCUUGAAACAAACAAAUAGACAGCGGCAGCUCCAAUAAAGUGAAAAACGUGGGUGUCUUUAUUCAUAUAAUGUGAUGCGACGUUUCAGCUUGCUCACCAAGCAGAGUAGAUAUUUAUGGCCCCGCAGGACCAGUGAAACAAUGAACCAAUCAAUUGUAUUAUACAAUAUUAUA